rnacentral:rRNA from 1 species
UACGUAGGGGGCUAGCGUUGUCCGGAUUUAUUGGGCGUAAAGAGCGUGUAGGCGGCCAGGUAGGUCUGGUGUGAAAACUCGAGGCUUAACCUCGAGAUGUCAUCGGAAACCAUUUGGCUAGAGUCCGGAAGAGGAGAGUGGAAUUCCUGGUGUAGCGGUGAAAUGCGCAGAUAUCAGGAAGAACACCAAUGGCGAAAGCAGCUCUCUGGGACGGUACUGACGCUGAGGUGCGAAAGCGUGGGGAGCAAACAGG